GGCUAAUUUGUGUCUUAAGAGAAAGCCAGUUACAUAAAUCACAACAAUAAAUUACAUCUGAAUUGUUGUCUCCAGUUUCUUAUCAUCAAAGCCAGUUUAAUGGAGUGUGGGAGCUGUGAAGAACCUCCCUAGAUGCUGAUAUCAUUUUGACUGCCCUGAGUUACAACACAGCAUUUAGAUAAACUUCUGCACAGCAGCUUGUAGACAAAUACCUAGGCUUUAUUUGGAACAUAAAUUGACCAGAUACAGUUUUCAUUAUCAACCCAGUAUUUAACAAUUUCUGUAUUUUUGUUCAUUCUUUGAAGGGGAAAAUGCAACUUUGUUAUGUAAUAAUUACAUAAUGGUCUUAGACUUGUAAACUCUUUUCUGUUUGUGGUGAAGAACAAAGCAUAUACUCUCCACAGAUAAAAAAUUGGUUGCCAAGCUUAUUCUUUUAAUGAUGAAAUUCUGCUUCAAAAGAUGCACAAAAAACUGCUUCUAAAGUGCUCUGUGUGUUAUUCUUGACUGCUCUGGAGUAAGGGAGAUAAAUGCUUCAUAUCUUCAGAAAUAAGGGGAUUUAGAUCACCAGACUUAAGGAUGUUGGGGACAAUUAUUUAAUGAAUCUCAGGUGCAAAAAUGGAAAAAAUCGAACACCUUCAAAGGUCCUUCAAGGUAUCACACCGGUAAUUGACCAAUCAAAAUGAACUUAGUCAAAUGUAGGUCCAUAUAUAUAAAAUUGAUUUUCUUUUCUUUUGAGACGUUUUUCUAUUUUCUUUCAUGCCAUUUUUACAACUUUGGUACCUGUGCCUAGUAAAUUUUAUGUACUUUGAGAAUAAAUAAAGGUUUUUGACAGGAACUAUUUUUUUCAUGGCAUAGGAGGCUACUUCCUGUAGUGCACUCGAGGUGUUUAUAAACACAGUGAAAACACGUGGAUUUGAGGGUAGCCGUGUUUGCAGAUGGAAAAAGUCCGAAAAUGCCGUGUGGGUACCCUGUUUUUUGGUGUCAGCUAAUGUGACAGGAGGCUACUUCCUGUAGUGCACUCGAGGUGUUUAUAAACACAGUGAAAACACGUGGAUUUGAGGGUAGCCGUGUUUGCAGAUGGAAAAAGUCCGAAAAUGCCGUGUGGGUACCCUGUUUUUUGGUGUCAGCUAAUGUGACAGGAGGCUACUUCCUGUAGUGCACUCGAGGUGUUUAUAAACACAGUGAAAACACGUGGAUUUGAGGGUAGCCGUGUUUGCAGAUGGAAAAAGUCCGAAAAUGCCGUGUGGGUACCCUGUUUUUUGGUGUCAGCUAAUGUGACAGGAGGCUACUUCCCGUAGUGCACUCGAGGUGUUUAUAAACACAGUGAAAACACGUGGAUUUGAGGGUAGCCGUGUUUGCAGAUGGAAAAAGUCCGAAAAUGCCGUGUGGGUACCCUGUUUUUUGGUGUCAGCUAAUGUGACAGGUAAUGUUUAACACCUCCUGCUAAAUAUUUUUUCAUGUAAACAAAUACCCGAUUUUUAACGAUUUUUUAUUCUAUAUAGAAUUAUAUAGUGAAAACAAUUACCGGUGUGAUACCUUGAAGGUGAUUAUGAAAAAUCAUUUUAAUCCUUAUUAAAGA